rnacentral:lncRNA from 1 species
CUCAAUGGAUAGAUCUUGCGUGUGCUUAUAUUUUUUGUUUGCCAUGCAAUGUAACCAAAUACAUGGGAGCAACAAGGUUGAUGUAGAGGCCCUUCAUGAUUGAUCCCCCUCUGGGAGGGCACCGGAAUAUGACUUCAGAUGGGAUCAUGGCCGAACAGAGACUUACAUCGGCAGAAAAAGUAUUUCAUGAUUGUUUCCCUGAUUUUAGAGAAUAUAUAGAGGCGAAGCUAGGGUAAAGGGAGCCAAAGGUGGUCCCAAGGCAUCAUGGCGCACCUUGUUCCCUUGGCAGCACCUCGUGUGGUGUUUGGCCCCCCUCCAAAGAUUACAGGUCUUAUUUCUGUCCAGAAGGAAUCAUCAAAAUGUUUUGUGGCAUUUGACUUCGUUUGGUACUAGGUUCCUCAAAAGCAAAAAACACAUAGGCACUAGGUUAAUAGGUUAGUGCCAAAAAAUGAUAUGGAACAACAAAUAUAU